rnacentral:misc_RNA from 1 species
AACGCACCUUGCGCCCUUUGGCUAUUCCGAAGGGCAUGCCUGUUUGAGUAUCAUGAACACCUCAACUCUCAUGGUCCGCCAUGAUGAGCUUGGACUUUGGGGGUCUUGCUGGCCUAACCGUCGGCUCCUCUCAAAUGAAUCAGCUUGCCAGUGUUUGGUGGCAUCACGGGUGUGAUAACUAUCUACGCCUGCGCUCUUCCACCAGGUAACCUUCAGUGAUGGAGGUUCGCUGGAGCUCACAGACGUCCUCUUCCCAUGGAGGACAGCUUUUGAACGUUUGAUCUCAAAUCAGGUAGGACUACCCGCUGAACUUAA